UUUCCACGCCGGGAAUCGAACCCGGGCCUUCUGGAUGAAAGCUAAAUAUCCUAGUCACUAGACUACGUGAGA